CGAGAUGAUGGCUGCUCUUUGAGGGGCUGAGCUCAGUUUGGGUGCUGUAGCAGACUUGUCAUUGCUGUGUUUACACUGGACAGGCAAGUUCUCCUAAGCCCCAGUUGGCGAGACAGCCUCUAUAACUGGCAGGCAAGUCGCCCGCAAAUCGCUAUCAGGACAAUUGGACAAAACGAGAACAGGAUAACAGGUCCUCACCCUGUUCUGAAUUUAGCUUCUUACUGUGUGCAGACAUGGCAGCAGCAACUGUAGUUGAAGCUGAUCCGACGGCGACCGACGGGGGCACAACGUUUUCUGAGGUCCACAAUUCGACCUGGACAGACAAUCAAUUGCGAAAGUACCCUUUUCAAACGAGAGCUAUCCCCCGAUUAUCUCAUACAGACCCACGCGCCGAGAUCCUAAUAGAUAAUGAGGAGCCUGUUGUCCUUACUGAUACCAACUUGGUAUUUCCUGCGCUGAAGUGGGAUGUAAACUUUCUGCAGGACAACAUUGGGAAUGGAGAUUUCUCAGUCUAUAUUGCUGAAAACUAUAAAUUCCUAUAUUAUGAUGAAAAGAAAAUGGCUAAUUUUGAGAAUUUUGUACCAAAGUCCCAACGAGUUGACAUGAAAUUUUCUGAAUUUGUUGACAAAAUGCAACAAACUCAACAACAUGGAGGAGAGGAAAGGGUGUACUUGCAGCAGACCUUAAAUGACACUGUUGGAAGAAAUAUUGUUGUAGAUUUCUUGGGUUUCAAUUGGAACUGGAUCAAUAAGCAGCAGGCCAAGCGGAAUUGGGGACAGUUAACUUCAAACCUUUUGCUCAUAGGCAUGGAAGGCAAUGUGACGCCAGCACAUUAUGAUGAACAACAGAACUUUUUUGCACAAAUUAGAGGUCAUAAGAGGUGUAUCCUGUUUCCGCCUGACCAGUUUGAAAGUCUUUAUCCCUUUCCUGUUCAUCAUCCCUGUGACCGACAGAGCCAGGUCGACUUUGAAAACCCUGACUAUGAAAAAUUCCCAAAUUUCAAAAAUGUAAUUGGAUAUGAAGCUGUUGUGGGCCCUGGGGAUGUGUUGUACAUCCCAAUGUACUGGGCGCUCCUACUCCACGGAGGAUAGAGUACCCUCUUAAGGCUCACCAGAAAGUGGCCAUCAUGAGGAACAUUGAGAAGAUGCUGGGAGAAGCUUUGGGAGACCCUCAUGAGGUUGGGCCAUUACUGAAUAUGAUGAUCAAAGGGCGAUAUGAUCAAGGUCUUAGUUAGUUUACUCUCCACUUAACUGGAUGCUGCUGGAUAUCUUUGGUUGCGUGGUCUGACUGCAGAACUGCCAACUGCUUCAGUACUUCAAGCAACCAAUACUUGCUUAUGGCCUUUUAUUCUUUCUGGCUUAAAACUGGGAAAUUGUUGACUUUUAGGAGAGGUUUUUUAACACAGAGCAGUCAACCUAGUUUUGGUUGAAAUGGAAAGAAUUUAAAGUACCAAAAGCUUAUAAACUAGUGGAUUUCAUUAGAGCCCUGGCCUCUUGCUUCAGUAUAACCUGGCACAGUCAUUGGGUUCAUUUUGUUUCAGAGAGUUUGUUCUACUUCUGAAAUUUACUUUGAUGACAUUCAUUCUUUGAUUAUAAAUGAGUUUACAAGCUUGGCGACCAUGGAUAUAUAGUAUAGUAACAUGGUUUAUAAGAAUGGCCAAAUAUUGUGUUUUACAAACACUGAAGGAGUAUGAGAUCAUUUGUUAGAAGUUGGUUGAUUAAAAUGUAAUUGCUGAACAUUUCUUGUUUGAACAGAUUUGAUGGUAUUUUUAUAUAAUUAUUUUGUGUACACACUUGCUAAAUUUUUAUGUUGUGUUUAUUGUGAUAUGUUUUUUUCCCCUGAACGUGGUACAUCAACAGUCAGUGCACUCAACUUUGUUUUAACUAUGAAAUAGUUAAAAAUGAAGCGCAAGUGUCUUAAAUGUUGAAAAUGAAGCGCAAGUGUCUUAAAUGGCACAGAUAAACACAAGGAGCUUCUUAUUAGUUACUUAUUAGUACUGAAUAUUCAGUCAAUAUUUUAGUUUAUGGUUUCCCUGUUUUGCUCAUAUUGAUAAUGUGGUGUAGCAUUUCUAUAAAAUGCAUUGAACAAUACCCAAUUAUGUGUGGUCAUAAUAAUGUUUGUUCAAAGCCAGAAUCAAAUUCAGUGUAUAAUCAACCAUUUCAAUUUUGUCAUGGCUUUGUUGACUAAGUUUCACUUGUUUCUGUUUUGCUGUGUUGUAUAAAAGGGAUGUCUGUGUCAACAUUCAGGAAACAGCUGCACCUACAGGACAUUGUAUUGGUUAUUUUUUUUCACGAUAAUUGACCAGAACUCAUUGUAUGUUUUUGUUGGUCAAAUCCCACAUCCCACUGGUUGAUGUCCUUAGACCUGUUUUAUGUACAUAAACACAUAAUAUAUUUAAUAUUGUCUAUUAGAGGGCUGACAAUUAAAUAUGGUUAAAGUUGAAACCAUCCUCAUAGUAAACUUUACUGUGUGCCAAAUACUUUUUUCAAGCAUUUUGUUUUAUUUCUGAGAAUAAUCUUGACUUUUUUUUUGUACAAACUGCAAAUGGUUCCCAAAAACAAUACCACUUGAGAGUAAUGGAAAAGUCAAAUGCAUUUCUCUCUCCAUACAAAUGCACAUUUGCUGGUUAGACAGUCAUCUGGAAGACUUGUCCUCAGUUAUAUGGAGCAUAUAAGCACUUUUUGAAAUAUCUGAGGGCUUCUGUGUAGUUCUUGUCAAACAAAUAAAAAAUCAGGGUAUUUUCUUGCCUGAAUCAUG